CCCCUGAUUCUUCUGAACCAUCACCUUCACCAUCCACUGCUCUCCCAGUUCCUAUUCCUCAAAAUGAGCAUCACAUGUGCACUUGUGCCAAGGCUGGUCUUGGUAUUCCUAAACCUGUCUUUGAUCUUCAUGCCACUUCCAUUUCGCCUCUUCCCACAUCUGGCUACAGUGUGUUCCUCGUGAAGUUUCCUGAUCAUCCAAGCAAUAGCUUACUGUUUCUCGUUCAUCGGCCGAGGCUGAGUAUCACUCAGUGUCUCAUGCUGUAGCUGUGACAACUCCUUUACGAGCUACAACAAUCAAUUCAGCAGGUUGCCAUUGGAUUCCGUAAUGACAUAUCAGCUGGGUAUUUGUCAUCAAAUCCUGUACAACAUAGGAAAACUAAGCAUAUUUGAGAUAGAUAUACACUUUUUUAGGGAAAAGGUGGUAUUAGGCCAAGUCAGAGUGCUCCGCUUACCUACCACAGCAGGGGGUGUUAUAAAAGGUCUGCUCAUAGCUAUCUUCGGUGACAUCAGGUCCAGUCUCAAGGGUCACAACGCCUGACACUGAAACAUCAAGGGGUGUUAGACAGUAUCCCACAUGAGAUUUGAAGCUUUGAAAUGAUAUUUAAACUACUAGCAUAAAGCAAACAAGAGAUGCAGCCCAGUAGCCCACCACAGCUGAUUGCAUAAGCUCAUCCUUACCCUUGCAUUCAUUUCAAGCAGCUGUCUCAAGAACUCAAGUCUCUGAAACAACAAGGCAGGUGCAUGUAUAAAUUAGGUUCUAACAUAAAACGAUCCUACUAGAGAACAACAAAUGUCAUCCUACUCGGGUCACAUCUUACUGUCUUCCUUGCUCCUCGACAUAACAUCGAGCACCAAAAGCGCAACCUCACUAGUUCCAAUUUCAGUCAUACACACAAGACACGUCAUAUUCACCCAGGACCCUAUGCAAAAUGGCCACUCCCUCGAAUUUCCUCGUGAUUCAAAAAAUUCUCAAACAUUGACAUGCUCACUACCUUUAUAUAAACCUGACCACACAAGUGUUGCUCGAACCCCACAUGUAUUGCUUGACAAUUAC
rnacentral:lncRNA from 1 species